CUGCUGCACCUCCCUGAAUGCUGGGCUGUUCCACAGAGGCAUGAGGACAGCUGGCUGAGCACUCCAAGACCAGUGGCCGAACUGGGAGAGAUGCAAAGAGCCGAGCUCCCAGUGCUGCUCUGGCGUUUGUUGGAUCUCAGAUUCCACUGCAGAUCUUGUGCUUCAGUCUUGGAGCUUUUGCAAGGAACUAAUAUUGAUCAUGGCACAAAAGGAGGAAGGACUUCACGUCAGUAAAGUAUUUUGUCUUCUGCAAGUUGUGUCAAAAUCCUUGGAAUGACAGAGAUGGGAAUGCUGAACUCCAGCAGCUCAUGUGUGUGAGCUGCUGCUUCCCCAUGUUGGUCAGACACAACAAUUCCUCUCCAGGCUUGGGAAUCAAGGACACCUCACUGCCUCAGGCCCCAAGGAGGGUAAAACAAAAGAUAUAACUGAACUUAAUCCAUUGACACUCUGGAUAUUUUUUAAAUCUGAAAGUGGAGGAAGGUGAUAUGAAAGGCUAACAGGACAGAAUUUCCUGUAGAUGCCCUUAAUAAUUGCCCUGCUAAGAAGUUUCUUGUUCCAGGACCCUGCUGUAAAGUGUCCCCAGAGCCUUCUGCUCUCCAGGCUGAACCACCCCACAGAGAGGUGCUCCAGCCCUCCAGUGUUUCUGUCCCUGCUCCAAGAGGUCCCUGGGUAUCCUGUGCUGAGGGUUCCACAGCUGGAUGCAGGAUUCAUCCAGGACAGUAAUAAUGUCUAGAAGGAAGUCAUCUGCACACACUGUAAUUUGUGCUUUACUCUGACUUCUUGCCAAAAUUUACCUAUUGUUUGAUAUAAGAGAGUUUCAGAAUGAGGGAAAGGGUAUUUCAUGGCAGGGAGUAAAUGAAAGAAUAUGAGAAAUAAAGCUUGAGGCCCAAGAAACCCCUCAAUGAACACCCUGAUGGACACCAGGAGAGGGAGCAGGAGUCAACCUGGCUCUCAGCAUCUUACAGCACUCAAAUUCUGUAUUCUGCCAGCUGUGCUACAUGUAUGGCAUGACAUGAGUAGCAAGGUGUUUAUUGUUUCUGUCAGUGAGCUGAUCAGAAAGGGUUCAGAUGCCCCAGAGAACUGAGGCAGUGGUUGUCAGAGGAGGAGCUGGUUUGGAGCUGAGGCCCCAAAAGGCUGCUCUCGCUGUGGCUUUGUCCCCAGCUUCCCCUGGCACAGCUGCCUUUGUUUGGAUCAAUUCACCACUUCCAGAGUGUGGUUUUCUACCUGGCAAUAUGUCAGGCAAGACUGAAGGAUCUGUGGCUGGUGUGUUCAUAAAGGUUGAAAUGCUCUCAUUAGCAAGCAGAUAACUGUUCAAAACUCGGCGUUACUUUACUGGAAAGGUUUGCUUGUUACGGGAGCCUCUGGAGCAGUCCUUGCUGAAGCUAAUGACUAUAAGGAUGCUUCUUGGUAGCAGCACUGUCUUCUCUCCCUCCCCUACUACCCUCCCCAGUCUGAUGUGCAAUCAGUUAACGUCUAGUUUGGAAGUGCUCUCUGGCUGUGUACAUUUUCCAAGUCAGUGUAAAACAACUUAUCCAAACCAAUAUGGAAAAUGAAAGGUUCACUGGGAAAACAUUUAAAAGCUUUCUAAUGUUUCUGCUUAUUGAACUGAUAGAAGUUGGGGGUUUUAUGCAAAACAUCAGCAUGAAAGGUAUUAUGCUCAUAACACACAUUCUCAAAUAGCUAGUAAAAUUCCCGAAGUAUCCAAAGCAAUGAUACCUGCUUUAAAAAAUAUAAGUGUUGAAAAACUAAAAGAAAGUAUAGAUAGAAAGGGAGCUUGGCCUUACUAAAGGUAUCUCUGAUUACCUUUUCCACAUGUGGGAAUUCAGAUGAAUUAAGCAUGUCAUCAGUAGGAUUACUUCAUCCUCUUGGGUUCGCUUUGUGUCCUCUAAUAUUUUCUCAAAUAGUUCUGAGCCAGGAUAUCAACACACAUCAGCUUUGAACUGGUCAUUGGUUCAAUUUUACCUUUUAAGUGUAUCAAAGACCAAUUAAUAAUGAAUGGGCUGAAGUCAAGAAGUAUCUCAAGUCUUCCUAUCUUUCAAAAAAUCUCUCUCCUUCCGCGCUUGCCUGUCUGUGCUUAGUGCUUCAAACUGACAAUGACAGGAAUUGAAAUAACUUGAACCUUGCUAUUAUUGUAGCAUUCCAGGCCUGACUUAAAUGGUUUUCCUGUGUUUCUUGCUGAGUUAGGCUCUCUUGAAAGAAUUAGGGUAGUGUUCUUUUGAAUGUCAAAUCAAUACCAAUAACCUGUAGAGCUCUUGAGCUCAUGCAGGCUAUGACAAAAUCUGUUUUAUUCUUGGUGAUUUGUUCUUAACAAUCCGUAGUUCAUAAAGAAUCUCUGUCCUGAGCACACAGAAUUUUUCACAGGUAGAAACUACUCAUUAUAUGUUUUAGAGUGGUUCGACAUUCCCAUAUAGCUCCGGAUGUUAGAGUAUCUACGAAAAGUGAUUGCAUUUUAAGUUGAGCAGUGGUUGUUCCUUUCAAGUCACUUUAUCACAGAGCACUUCCUGCAGCAAACUCAUGGGUCCACUGCUGAUGAAACUGCUAUGGCUGGCUGUGGGUAGUGUCAGCUGAAUAGGCUGGGAGAAGAAAAUUACUGAGGAAAAAAGUUAAUGGUAUUCCAAAAUUCAAUGUAAGUGGGGCGCUGUUCAUUUAAAAAAGAAUUUAGGUGAUAAAACUUUACUGUAAUAUGUACAAUUGUAUCAAAAGAAAUCAUAACAACGCCUAUUUCAGUGAUCUUACAAAUAUCUCUGUGGUGUUUCUGCAGCUUCAGAAAGUCUGCAGGCAGAUUGUUGUGAGGGUGACUAGAAGCUGGAGGAUUAUUUUUGUAGAAGUAUCUAUUCCCCAUGCAGUUACUCUGAGUGUGUGCUACUCUUUUGUACUGGGGUAAUGACAGUUCCUUUGACAUCUGGAUAGAAAAGUGUGGUCAUUUGUGGGUGCCUUACUGCAUCACUGUGUAAACAGUAGAAAAGAUUUGUUUUUGCAAUAAAGAUGACAUUUAUAUGCAAUUCUGACCCUGGAACCUUUGGUGUGUGCAGCGUUGUGUGAGACCCUCCUCACUGUCAUGAUCAGAUCCUGCCUGUGGUGGUGUUAUAAAUGUGGAAUGGUUAAUUCAUGUUCUUAUGAUAAAUUAGAAAUUUAUAAUAUUGUAUAAAGUGAUAUCAGGUAAAAGUUUAUGUUUAAGAGAUUUUGCAGCAGACGGUGAAACUGACCGCCCUGAGACAGCCGGCGCCUCCAUUUAUAAAAGAACAAAGGGGUUUUCUGAGAAAAGCUCGCAGCUGUCCAAGCACCAUGGAGGGGACCCCGGAGAUAAACUGGCACCAGCAACUCACACCUUGGGUGCCACCUUCAUGGACCAUCAAGCCACAUCCUCGAUAUCUCAACCACUCAUCAACUAUAAGGACCUAUUGAAAUUGGAUAUUAACAUUUGAACUAAGAAAAGGACUCUUUUCUGCUUGGUUGGGGAGACUCCCGAAUUUGUAUAGUUGGUGGGGAAACAAUGGGAAAUAUGGAGAAAUAUUGCCGAGGGCAGAAUAAAGUGUAUAAAACCCAAGCCCCGAACCGGGCUAAUUUGUGAACCGCUGGGGGAGAUAGCAGGCUGCCAGACCCUGUAUCUCACGGUUCACCCUUGGCAUUUCCCGGGAAAGCUCUGUCAAGUUUUUCCGCUGUUGGUGGAUUAU